UACGUAGGGUGCGAGCGUUGUCCGGAAUUAUUGGGCGUAAAGGGCUCGUAGGCGGUUUGUCGCGUCGGGAGUGAAAACACCGGGCUUAACUCGGUGCUUGCUUUCGAUACGGGCAGACUAGAGGUAUGCAGGGGGAGAACGGAAUUCCUGGUGUAGCGGUGAAAAUGCGCAGAUAUCGGGAGGAACACCAGUGGCGAAGGCGGCGACCUGGGCCAAUAUUGACGCUGAGGUGCGGAAAAGCGUGGGGGAGCAAACAGGG
rnacentral:rRNA from 1 species